UAUUUAAUCGAAAUUUUUAGCAGAUUUUUUUUUAGUAAAAAUGUUUAUAACAAAAUUCUUUUUAUUAAAUAUAAAUCGAAAAAGUGCAAUUAAAAAAUUUAAGACACGUGACUGUUGGUAAAUAUAAAAACGAAAGUGAAUAAGAUAAGAUAAAAAUUAACAAUGACCUUUUUUUCUGAACAGAAUUUAUAAUUAUAAUAAUGAUCGAGUGAUAAGUACUUGUUAGGAUUUCAAGCUACUGUAAUAUACAGGUUCAGUUUCCUGAAAUGUUUAGAGUCAACAACAUUUCUUGUGUCAAUAAAAGUUCUUUAGAUUGUUGUUUUUUCUUGUAAAUUUUUAAUUCUUUGUAAUUACUGCAGUUCUGAUAAAACGAAUAUUGCAAUUUGUUUUUACUAAAAAUGAGUUAAACAACAUAUGAUUGCUGUCGAGUUUAUUACAAUUCCCCCGGGGAUCUAAGAAGUUUGGAAAUAAGACGGGAAAACAACUGUUUAGUCCUAUUGUGGGAAAAGGCCUCAACAUGUGCAACGAAAUGUUCGUGGCUGUGGUAGGAUUCGUAAUUCCCGCGGAACUAAUGCGCAUGGGACAAGAGACCGAAGCCGCUUGUUAGCAGACGACAAAGCCACGUGGUGGAAAAUUUAAGAAAGAGAAAUUCUUCCGAGCCCUCAACAAUUGAGUGAAUUGUUUUCUAAUAAUUAUAAAAUAAAAUACUUCUAGUGAAAAUCGGACUAUUGAUCAUCAAGUACAACAAACAGUUUUCAACCUUGGUAUUCAACAUUUCCUUGCGCAGUCGCAUCAAACAGCAGUCCUUCAAGAUAUAAGAAAAGGGCAUAGAACAAAGACGAAGUUGCAUAAACAGAACAAGAAGGACGUAUGACAAACACCAGAUUCUCUUCCAAAGGAUGGUAUUCUCUAUUCCGAAGAAUUUUCCAGAGAACAACUAAUUUUCGAAGAUACUGGAGUUUUAAUAAAUUUUCCUGUAGAACUUCAUAAAGAAUGAAGAUAUAUUUUUUUUUCUCAAAUAUUAAUGACGAGUGAACGAACAGGACGCAAGAAGACACCCCAUCGUGGUUUAAAAUCAGUGGAAAAUCUGUGGAAAAUGUAAUAUUUAGCUCUCAUUGUAUUAGGUAAUUUUUCACCGAGUGCUAGAAAUAUUUGUUAUUUAGCUAGGGAUUUUAAAACCAAAAAAAUGAAUUAUAUUAGCUAGGUAAUUAGCAAUGUUAGUAGUUUUUAGGUAAAAAUAAUGUUAACAGAAGAGACUUCAACAUCCAGCAUCAACUCAUCAUAAAGGGUUACGGCGUCAACUCACGCAACAUUCUUCCAUCUGAAGAGGAGGGCCAUCACCUGAAAUGCAGAGGGAUGGUUCAAGUCUGAUGCUACCUUUGGCUCGACAACAGUUGUUUUUCGUUUAUUUAACAAGAAAGAAGAAUUACAGGAAAAUGUAUUUUUUUAACAAGAACGUAUGUAAAAAAAGGAGACCAAAAGAAAAAGCAAAAAGAAACUGAAGAUAUAAUUCAUGACAUAGAGGAUCUUAUCAACAAUAAGUUACUUAUGUGCAAGAAUUCAUAAAUAUAUUUUUUUUAAUGGUAGCUUUGAGAACAUUUACAUUUUAUGUUGAAUGAAAACAUGUAAUAUUAUAUGAUAUGAUACAAAAAUAAAUUAUUAAAGUAUAUUAUCAAAAAAAUAAAAAAAUUUGAUUAUUUAUUUACUUCUUUAAUUCCUAUCUUUAAAGUCUGAUUUAAUGAGAAUGAAUUAUUUUAUUCAAAGACUACGUGAAAAAGAAUUUAAACCUAAUUCAACAACUCGGAUGCAGGCUCUUCUUCCAGCAGUGUAGUCUUUCUGAACUAAUUUACUCGUACCGCAUUGGUGUAUAAUUUAAA